rnacentral:rRNA from 1 species
GCACGGUAGCAUGUGGCAUGAACCACCGGGAUUCCCUGAGUAAGGGCGACUGAAAGGGGAUGAGCCCAGCGCAUAACCUCGCGGUCAUGUUUUGGCCGUCGAGGGGUGUUGCGUUUCGGUGGAUCCGUACCGCUCGAAUUGCUAACCGCCUAAGUCAUUGCUUGAAUGCAGCCCCAAGGAGGGUGGUAGGCCCGUGUGGCGGCGCCUGUAAAAAGGUCUGGAAGCAAUUUGGGCGGAGGGGUCUUAACCGUAGAGUCGGGUUGCUUAGUACUGCAGCCCUAAGUAGGUGGUAAACUCCAUCUAAGGCUAAAUACAACCACGAGUCCGAUAUUUGACAAGUACCGUGAGGGAAAGCUGAAAAGGACUCUGAAGAGAGAGUUCAAGAGGACGUGAAACCAUUAGAAGCUGAAACGGGUGGAACCGUCAAGGUGGAAAGAGGGGAUUCAGGCCGUUGGCUGGAGCGCGUUGGCGGCGAGUCAAGGCGAGAUACUGUGGACCCGGCGUACGAGUGAGUCGUCCGGGCACUCGCUGCUGCGUGGCUGCGGCCAGCGGUCUUACUUCUCCCUCGAGUACUUUACGUGGCGACCCGCUGCCUGGAUCCCUGAGGUGCCUGGAGGAUUGGUAGCCCGGACCUUUGCGGGUCUGGGCGAAGACCUGUUGGGUGACUGAGAGGGUUCGGGCGGCGGUCACUGCGAGGAGGCGGCAUCAAUCAUGUUGGUGCUGCCUCUCGCCACGUGAGAGGUAUCGGUCAUCCACCGACCCG